GUGGAUUAGAUACCCUGGUAGUCCACGCCCUAAACGAUGUCAACUGGUUGUUGGGGGAUUUAUUCUCUUAGUAACGAAGCUAACGCGUGAAGUUGACCGCCUGGGGAGUACGGUCGCAAGAUUAAAACUCAAAGGAAUUGACGGGGGCCCGCACAAGCGGUGGAUGAUGUGGAUUAAUUCGAUGCAACGCGAAAAACCUUACCUACGCUUGACAUGUCCGAGAUCCCCGAGAGAUUGGGGAGUGCUCGAAAGAGAAUCGGAACACAGGUGCUGCAUGGUCGUCGACAACU
rnacentral:rRNA from 1 species